AUGGUACUCCACAACGGAAGGGUGCCACCGUGCCAGCCCGCAUCGCUCGUCGUCGACCAGGGAAGGGCGUCCAGCAGAGGUGGAAGGUCCUGCUUCCCCAACGACUGGGAGAGGAAGGAGGCUAGGGGAGGUGCGCCAUCCAGCGAUUCAGCGUGCCUUGCUCUGCCUCUCUCUCCGUCCAGCGUCAGCCAUGCCGCCGCCGCCGGUUGCCCCGUCCUCGACCAGAUCUGGAACCCACUCCCCUCACCCGAAUCGACGCGCCCAGCCUCCUGCGCCGUACAAAUGCGCAACCACACGCCGGAGGACACUGCGCCCGGCCUACCUUGCCCUCGACGCCGGUGUUGA
rnacentral:rRNA from 1 species